CCACCCCUUGGAAGGCGGCGCACACGCCAGGAAGUAACCGUUCCGCGUCCUUCCUGGGUGCCAGGCCCUCGCCAGGAGUCUCCUCAGGACCUCGUCACCACCCUCUGUGUUGCUAGGUAUCAUACUAAGCAUGUUCCCCACAGCUAGAGGCAGCAGAGUGCCCCUGUGCUGAGCCACUUCUGCGCCCACCCUCACCCCCUCUGGGCCCUUUGAGGGCCGUGAUUCGAGGUCAUAAGAGUUUGAAUUAGCUGUUGGUGGCCAUAGGUCUGUUAGACUCUUUUAUUUUUGUUUCACUUCCCGAGGUUGGGCCUGGUCACUCUGCCUGGUACGAGAGUGCCCAGGGUCACAGUGCGGUCGAGCCAGUCGGUUAUGAAGAAAGGCGUGACGUGCCCGAGCAGAUCAGAAGGCGGCUGUUUUGAAGCUUUUUGUUGUUUCCUCUUGUCCCGGGGGCUGUGGCACUGCGCUACUGUCAGGCACCUCUUCGUCACUUGGAAAGGCCCCUUGAGACACCACCCAAGCUCAGCGGCCGUGGCCUCGUCCUGGCCUCCCCGAAGACUUCGAACCCUUAUUCCUUCUUCUAUGGGAGCAGUUGUGGGUCCCCAGGGUCCAUGUGGCUUGGGGACCCGCCCAGCUGGGGACUCAGGGCAGCCGUGACCAUCAGGUGGACUGCUGGGCUAGUCUGGUUCCUCCAGGUGCGUGGGGCGUCCAGUGGAGGGAGCUGUCACCACCCCAAGUGUCUCCACAGCUCGCGGCCCUCGGCAGGCCACAGAGUAGAGCGUGGCAGAAGACCCGAGGGGAUUCUCAUUUCUCCCUGGCUUUGUGUGGAACGUGUUGUUCUCUCUGGCACAGAGGGGCUGGGUUUCUGUCCCCCAGCCCUGGAUCCAGCUGGAGCCCCAGGUCACCUGGGUCCUCACUGCCCCAAUGAGGCUUUGGUCCGGAAGAGAGGUUCCGUGGGUGAGCACAGGGUAGCUCCCGCUGUGGGUAGGUGGAAGAUUCGCCAGCCGAAGGGAUGGCGCCUCUGGGCAGCGCUGUUCUCCAGGGUGUCGGUGCUCUGCCUGUGAACUGGCCGGUAGCCGGGGUGACUCCUCUCCGGGGCUCCCUUCCUCAUCUGGAAGUCGGGGACGGGACCCGAGGCUCCCUUGUGGGGGUCUUCUGUCCUUGGCAUUUGGCCAUCCUGUGACAAUUGCUGCUCAUAACCAGAUCAGUGAAGGCCGGUUCCCGGGUCCCUGACCACACGCAGGCCAGCAGUCCGGCAGAGGUGGCUGUGUGUGUGAGUGACACAGGCACAGGUGUGGUCUCUCAUGCAGCCUUUGGCCUCUGUGGACCUGUCAUUGCCCCGCCCCACCCGCACCCUGGCUUCUCCUGUCUGAAGGACAGGCCCAGUUCUCUCUGGAGCCUUGAGGCUGAGCCCCUGGGGCAGGGCCUGCAGUGGAGGGGAGGGGAAAAGAAGCCCCUACCCGCCAGCCUGUGGGGGGACACAGCCUUCCGGUGUCGUCACGCUCCAUCCCUGCUGCUUCCCAGGCAGCCGCUGCCCCUCAGUCCCUGGCCCAGCUCCAGGCUAGCACCAGCCGUGCUCACUGGCUUGGGAGCCGUCCCCUGCCUCUGUCUGGCUGCCCUCUGCCCCCAUUUGGCAUUGCGCUUAUCUAAGGGCUCAUUUGGGAGUUGAU
rnacentral:lncRNA from 1 species